GACGGAGGGUGAGAGGGUUCUUCGGAAUCAUUGGGAGUAAAGAGUGUGUAGGCGGCCGGUUAAGUCAGGCGUGAAAGCCCAGGGCUCAACCCUGGAAGUGCGUUUGAAACUGGCUGGCUUGAGUUCGGGAGAGGGAAGCGGAAUUCCUGGUGUAGAGGUGAAAUUCGUAGAUAUCAGGAGGAACAUCGGUGGCGAAGGCGGCUUCCUGGACCGAAACUGACGCUGAGACACGAAAGCGUGGGGAGCAAACAGG
rnacentral:rRNA from 1 species